rnacentral:rRNA from 1 species
UACGUAGGGGGCGAGCGUUUGUCCGGAAUUAUUGGGCGUAAAGAGCGUGUAGGCGGUUCGGUAAGUCUGCCGUGAAAACCUGGGGCUCAACCCCGGGCGUGCGGUGGAUACUGCCGGGCUAGAGGGUGGUAGAGGCGAGUGGAAUUCCCGGUGUAGCGGUGAAAUGCGCAGAUAUCGGGAGGAACACCAGCGGCGAAGGCGGCACUCUGGGCUGGAACUGACGCUGAGGAGCGAAAGCGUGGGUAGCGAACAGG